AGGUUUUGCUGUCCCUUAGUUCAUAUUUACAUGACUUCAGAGUGCUUGGCUUACUUUAUCGAUUUUGCUGUCCUGAUGGGUUUACCUACUUAACACUUGUCAUUAUAGAAAAGUAUCUCCAAGUUCAUGGAUAGUUUUAUACAAUUUCCAAGUUGCGUGUUCCUGCAAUUAGUAGCAUGAGUUUAAUUUUGGUAGGGAAUAGAAGGUCUCAAAAAUUGUUUUUGCAGCCUUUAUGAAAAUCUGUUUGUUUGGGAGAAAAUAAUGAGACAUCCAAAAAGUUACCUUUUGCCAACUCAGCUUUGUCAAUUUCCUACAAGAUGUACUAAAAUAUCUCUGUUACCUUAACCCACUGAUUGGAAUUCAUUUUCUUCUUAUGAGAAGUUACUUUAGUGUGGCAGCUAGGGAACUAUGAGGCGGAAUCAUCAACUAGCUUCAAGUACCUAGCUUUGGCCAUCAUAGGCGCCUAGGGUACCAAUAUAUUCAGUGGUGUGAUCUUUGCUUACAGAAAAGAAAUCAGAGUACCUAACAGUCUUCACAUGUACCUUAUUUUCUCCGUUGGGUGGUUGAAGAGACUAAUGUAUCUAAAAAAUACCUCCUUAUUCCACCUAAAUAUUCAAAUUAUCUCUUAAUCCACUGAUUUUAUUAGGAACUGAUUUUAGCUGGUUUCUCAUAGACCAGAGUAUGCUAAUAUUAUCAAGAAAUUAAACACAAACCAAAACUUUCUUGUAGACCUCAGUUCUCCCCUAAUUAGUUUACUCGAGGUUAAUAUAAUCAGUGCUCUGCCAUAGCUGCAUAAAGACAGUGUUGGUGUUAAUGUGGAGAAAAAGUACUGAAGGUAGCACUUCACAAAUAGUCGGAUUGUAAAAAGAAGUUAUAUGAGAAAGGUGAGAUGAUAGAAUGAUACCAUAUAAUUUCCAUAAAAUAACAUCACAUACAUUGAAAACUAGAAAUGACAGCAUUUAGUUUACUCCUUGUCCUCGUUCUUGCUCUAUUGUGCACAUUUAUUAAUUUAGUCACCCUAAGGAGAUGAUCACAUGCUCUUCCAUUCUACUCAUGAUUCUUUCAGGACACUGAAAAUGUGUCAGAACUGUAUAGCAAAUUAAGUUAAUUUAUGUUAUUGCUUUAUCACAGAAUCAUACAGAAUGGCUUGGGUUGAAAGGAACCUCAAAGAUCACCUAGUUCCAAAUCCCCUGCUGCACCCCCCAUAUCCAGUUGACCAGGGCUCCAUCCAGUGUGGCCUUAAACAUCUCCAGGGAUGGGGCAUCCACAACUCUCUGGGCAGCCUGUUCCAGCACCUCACCACCCUCCCUGUGAAAAAGUUCCCCCAGCAUCUAAUCUAAAUCUUCCCAGCUUUGGUUUAAAACCAUUUCCUUUUCUCCUAUCACUCUCUACCUAUUUAAAAAGUUUAUUUCACUCCUAUUUAUAAGCUGCCUUAAAUACUGGAAGGCCAUAAUGAGGUCUCCCUGGAGCCUUUUCUUUUCCAGGCUGAACAAGCCCAGUUCCCUCAACCUAUCUUCAUAGGAGAGGUUCUCCAGCCUUCUGUUAAUAUUAGUGGCACUCCUCUUGACCAUCUUCAACAGCUCCGCACCUUUCUUGUGCUGGGAGCCCCAGACCUGAACACAAUAUUCCAAAUGGGACCUCACAAUGGCAGAGGACAAGGGGACAGUCACCUCCCUCUCCCUGCUAGCCACCACUCUUUUGGUGCAGAUGUUGUUGGCCUUCCAGGCCACAAGCACAUACUGCCAUCUCACGUUAUGUUUUUCAUCUACCAGAACCCCUCCAAGUCCUUUUCCAUAUGUAUACAUAUCUGGGAUUUUCUCAAUCCAAGUGCAGCACCUUGCACUUGGUCUUGUUGAACAUCACUUGGCUCACAUGGGCCCACCUUUCAGGUUUGUCCAGAUCUCUUUGGUUGGCAUCCUUUCUUCUGUCCUAUCAAUUAUGCCACUCAACUCAGUGUCAUCAUGGUGACUGAUGAUGCACUCAAUCCCAUCAUCUAUGUAAUUGAUGAAGGUGUUAAAGAAUACUUGUCCCAAGAUGGACCCAGGGGGGAUACUACUUGUCACUGGCCUUUAUCUGGACAUAGAGCCAUUGACCACAUCCCUCUGACUGCAACCUUCCAACCAUUUUCUUAUCCACCAAAUAUUCCACCCUUCAAACCCAUAUCCCUCUGAUUUAGAGAUAAGGAUGUGGCAUGGGACCGUGUCAAAAAUCCAUCUCAUAGCUUGCAGAAUUUGGAAGGCCGUGUCUUUCUAGAGCUGUCCAUCAUCCAGACUAACCUCUUAUUACAGAGAUGUGUGAAUCUAUAUAAGAAGUUUAAGAUAAAUAUUAAUGUGAUAAAUUCUUUGUUCUUCAUUGAGUAUGUGGCUAACUUAGUCUUUAUUUUCAGAACUUUGGAGCUCUUAGGGAAGUACUGUACAUUUUGAAUGGUGCUCAAGGGUCUGAAUGUGUUCAGCAUCAUUUGAAAUAAAUUAGUGGGAUCUGGAACACUGAGCUUCAGAAUGGGAGUCUCCCAAAGCCCUGAAUUAUGAAUUAUGAACCCAGCAUUAGCACCCCCUCCAGCAUUUGUCAGCUCUUAGACUCGCAGCGAUCUUCCAGCCUAUCAGGUGAGCUAUAGUAUUUCUCUAUUUGUUUUUAGUCUAUAUUAGAAGUGAGAUAGUUUAGCUUGAAAUUGAAGUAAUUCAGUCUGAAAUAAAAGAGGAAUAUUUUAAGCUUGUUCAUCUAACGUGUGCUAUUGGAAGAGAGUUCAUCUACAGAAGUAUAUGAUGCAUGUGACAUCUGUCUUAUGUGCUGUCUUUCUGUGGUAAGGAAAGUCAAUGUUUAAUCACCUUUCUCACAAAAAUAACAUAAAAAUGGUCAAAAAUAAUCAAAAUAUAUUUAUAUGAUGAACACAGAAGAAGCUUUUAAAAAUACCAAGUAUUCUGAGAAAUCCUCUUUUCUUGGUAUAACUUAACUCAUUCAGAUGGUAACAUUAAAAAUAUUUUGCUGAUUAUGGGAUGUUAGUGAGGUUUUUUUUGUUUGUUCUGUUCUCCAUUUUUUUAUCUUGAAAAAUUUUGGUAACUUCAUGAACUGUUUUGAACAUACAUUAUCAAUGCUUAUAAAGUUCAAUUACUGUAUCAUUCCUAUGACAAAUGAUGAUCAAUGAAAACCUGUAGGAAAGCAAAUGAUCUUACACCAUAUUACUAAAGUUUAAGACAGAUAAAAAUAUUUGUUUCAUCCUUGUUUCCCGAAAGAGUUAGGUCUUCUGUGGAAAAAUAUAGGAAAGGGUUUCAUGUUCUCAUGUACAUAUCUAAAGAACCUAAUAUAACUCUUCUUAAAAAAUGCAUCUAACAUUUCUUAAAUCUUCCAUCUUUAAUACUUAUGAGCACAGUUAAUUUUAUUUUAAUUGGUGAGUUCAUAAAACAUCAGGAUUCAUCUACCUCCAUUUUUUAAUUCACAUUUUCUGACAUUCUCAAUUUCAUCUACUCCACUUUCCAUUAUCUCAUGUAGUUUUCCAUUUUAUAGCCUCUGUACACCACUUAAGCACAUUUUUUGAGAUAAGGUCUGAACACCAUUUCCACAUUUCCUACUUGUAACAACCUCAAAGAGGCAUUUUCUUGCAGGAACACCAGAGGCCUGUGCAGUGAGCAGUGUGCCUGUUUCUGUUUGUUAUGCAGAGCAAAGUAGAUAUUGAGGAGCUAAGCAAAUAAAAGGGCUGGAAGGUUUUCACAGUUUCUAAGGACUUCUUGACCCUAAGAUGUCUGCAGAUGAACAUGACUUAUUUCAAAUAUUUUUGAUUCAAUCAAAACUCAUUUUGUAAUUAUGAGCAUCAUUCCCAAUGUUUCAUUAAUUUUUCAGACACAUGGUAUGAGUCAAGUGUAAAUGAAGAAUUAGGUCUUACUUUUUUGUUCUUGUAUCCUCUUAUUUUUUGUUCCAAUUUUCACAGUUAGUUCAAAAUUUGGUCUAGCCCUUGUAACUUCACUCAUACCUUGUAACUUGUAUAACUAAUUUUGACAUUGCCAAAUGUGUUUUCAUUCCUAUCUUUUGCAUUGCUUCUAUUUUGUUCAAUAUUAAUGUGACCAUAAGCAAGGAAUAAUGACCCUUGACUUUUGUAAAGUAGAUCCAUAAAUGUAAAUAUUUCUAUCUGUAUUUCUAUUGGGAUUUCACCUUUUGAUGGUUGGAUUAUGAGUCAAUGUGUAUCGUAACUAUUUUGAUACUAAAAAAAUCCAUGAAAAUUUAUACUUUGUUAUAGGAAUUGAUACAAAAGCCCAAUCAAUAUAAACCUUUUCUUUAUAAAUCCAGAGGUGGAUUUUUGUACAAUAUUCUGUCAUCAUGAGGAAUUGUUGAAUCAAGCUUCCCAGGACAUUUGAAUUGCGUUUUAUGAAGUUAUAUGACGUUGAAAGAGCAAUUCAGUGUUUUAUGCAUGUGCCUGUGGUGGCUGUGCUCUUCCACAGCACUAACUGUUGAGAAUUACAGUCGUAAAGUCUGUAGGUUUAAUUCAGGAGUUUUCCAUCAACUGUUGCUUUCACACUGGCUUUCCUUCUGGCUUUGAGAUCAAUUUACACACAGGAUUCAGCGUUUUGUCCUUCAGUAGACAGAAAUGCUUUCAUCUUAUUCUUCCCUCUGGACCAAAGAGGAAGUGCAGUCUGAGUACAUAUGAAGCAAUUGCACAAUUCUAGCAGAGACACAGGCAGCUUUAUUCAUAUAUUUUGUUAUUGGAUUAGGAAAAAAGUAAAGUAAUAACACAUGAGAAAUAAAAGUAACUCUGUCACCAUCCUGAAAUAUUCCUAAACAUUCAGUAACACCAUAAGAGAGGCCUGUAUUCACUACAAACAAUAAAACCGUAGCAUUAAACUAAUCAAAUUCAAAUCUGUUCAACUGCAUAAUUUCAGUGAAGAGGUACUUAUGAAACACAAAAUGAACUUAAAAAUGGAAGGCUCUUUGCUUUGUAAUCAAAAGCAGUCAGAUUUAAACAUCAGCCAGUUAGGUGAUAAGUUUGUCAUUUUUCACCUGCAGUCUUGGAGAGAAUUUGCCCAAAAGGCUUCACUUCACAGAGCAUUUUCGCCAACUGAUGAACCUCAUUUUGAUAAACUCGAAGAACUGGGAGGGUGGGAGGAGAGGCAGGGUAACAGUAGUUCUAUUAAAAUAUUUUUGCAUCAAUCAAGUUGGGUUUAUGGUGUGAAAAAUACAUAGGUCCUGAAAAUAAACUUCACUGCUCUGCAGAUCUGAUUCUUUCUUGUCUGUGUCUGGCUACUUUGGAGAAGUACAGAGAUGCAAUACAUCAUUAAAAGCCAGAAAUCAGGUAGGCUGAAUUAAAAUGGGAAGAUCUGAAUGAAUAUAUUAUUGCUAUAUACAAUUAACAGCAGAAGUCAGAAAUCAUAGACUUUCGUAAAUUAGAACAAUGGCAGCUCUCCAGUGAAAACAUAUUUAUAGUGGUUUUACAUUGCUCUCUACAGGCAAUGUGCAAAAGGGAGAGACGCAAAUUAAUAUGCAGUAAGGCAGUAACAGAAAAACCUGUCUUUGAACUCUUAUUUCCUUUUAAUCAGCAUGAGUUCUGCUAAAUAGGAGAAAGAAUUAUGAGUAGGUGGAGUGCAUCUAGGUUACUGAGGGUAAAUCACUCAGAGGAAUAACUUUGCAGUUUGAGCAAUGGCGUCUGACCUUUACAUGACUUGAGAUGAACAGGUCUUCUCUGUUUUAACCCAGCAUGAGCAGCAAUUGCAAGGCAGCUAACCCGAAGUCAUACAACUGUCUUUUCCUACAUCAAAGUCUCUUUUGGCAGUUAUACCAUUGUCCUGGAUGAAUUCUCUAAUGCUGACUAAUGUCUUCUAUUUCACAUCCUCAAGCGUGGGAUUCUGUUGGUAUUUUUGUAAUGUCUGAUAUCGGUGGAAGUCUCAUUAAGUUUCCAAGGUUCUUAAAUUGCUACUUGGAGUUUAUUUGUCUUGUAACUCAGGUUAUAAAAGUAGCACCAUAAACAUUAAUUGAACAACCAUUAAGCAGCAUGGUUGUUUGUUUUGGGUUGAUAGAGGACAUAAAGCUUCAUACCCUGUGGUGGAAAACAAUUAGAUCCGAUGAUGAACAUGCUAUUAAAUAAACCAUUACCAGACUUCUAUCAUUUUAACUUUAGAAAGUAGCAACCAGCUGUGGCUGAAUCAUAUACAAGUGAUAGAAAGUUGUAUUUUAAUUGUCGUGUCAUAGCCCGUUAUAAAUAUUGUAGUUUUUAAUGUUUUGUGCUAAUGACAGUGACUAAUAGUAGUCAUUAUCUCCAUUCAUUCUCAUAAAAAUUUCUUCAAGAGAGGCUGAUCAUAACCAGAAUGCCAUUUAAAAUUAAACUGUGUUUUCCUAAAAUAGAGAACAUAAAGAACAUUUAAAUACCAAGAGGCUGGCUAGCUAAUUUAUUUUGUUUUGAGCAUGUUUGACAACUACAGCUGUUGUUAACUGUGUCAUGAGUUGAACUGAUAUUUCUUUCAAAAAUAUUUUUGGCACACUAAUGUGUAUGCAUGUCAUGUCUUCAUGUGCUCUCUGUAGCAUGGGAUAAAAGGUGAACUUCACAGUGGGAUACCUGUGGCCAGAAACAAAUAUGGUGCUGCCCCUGUAAAACCUUAAUAUUAAUAACACUGAAUGUCUUCAUCCAUUUCUUAUUUCAGCUAUGCAUUCUGCUUACUUGACAGGUACAGAGUACUUCAUUAUGUGCACGAACAGAAAUGCUUAAAUGGAUGAAGCAGCUAUUUAUGUAUGAUAGGAGCUAAGUGGGACAUUAAAUUAAUGCCAAACAAGUGAGUGCUCAUUUUAGUUUUGUUAUAAAUGGCUGCAGCACAGCAGUAAUGUGUUGACUCUCAUGUGCUGACAAGUUCUAUAUUUCUUACAAAAUUCCCUUAGAACUCAAUGUGGAAAGACAAAUUCACACUCUGCAUGAUGAAAUUAGCAGCAGAUGCAUUAAUAAUUGAAUAAGAAUCUCUGGAGAGACACCAUAGUUCAGCAGGGAAGUUGGUGACUGACUCUUUUUAACUAGGGAUUUCUGUGAUAUAUAUGCAUUUAAAUAAGCCCUGAGGUGAGAAAUUCUGCAUGUAGCUUUUGGUAUUAUUUUUGCUUUUAGAAGGCCUUACAUAGUUACACACUGCUUGAGUGGUCAAUGGGCAUAUGACCUUGUUUGUCUCUCCUUCCUCUGUAACUCUUCUCAAACUUUCAGUCAAAUUCAACACAGAUCCUUUUGAAUUUAUUUCCCAAAUAUGAGUGCAAGGCUUCACUCUGUGCAAGAUGCUUGACAUGGAACCACACAUCUUGAGUUCCUAUAGAGCUGAAACAUUUUCCUGUAGUGUAGCAAGCAAUUUGAAAGACGCAGCAGAAAAGUAUUAAGACAGUAUACUGUUUUCUUCUCUUCCAUGCUUUUGCAGGGAUUUGAUGUCCUCUGAGUGAAUCACAUAGAAUCAUAGAAUGGCCUGGGUUGAAAAGGAACACAAUGACCAUCGAAUUUCAACCCCCCUGCUAUAUGCAGGGUCACCAACCACCAGAUCAGGCUGCCCAGAGCCACAUCCAGCCUGGCCUUGAAUGCCUCCAGGGACGAGGCAUCCACAACCUCCUUGGGCAACCUGUUCCAGUGUAUCACCACCCUCUGUGUGAAAAACUUCCUCCUAAUAUCUAACCUAAGCCUCCCCUGUCUCAGUUUAAGACCAUUCCUCCUUGUCCUAUCACUAUUCACCCUCGUAAACAACUGUUCCCCCUCCUGUUUAUACACUCCCUUCAAGUAUUGGAAGGCCACAAUGAGGUCUCCCUGCAGCCUUCUCUUCUCCAAGCAAACAUGAAUUUCAGGUUCCAAAAUUUGUAUUCCUUUUGACAAUAAAAGGAAACAAGAAGAUUUGCAGAAAAAAUCUACUUUUUACAGAUGACCCAAAGCCAUAACACAAAUCCUAAUGCUUAAAUUAUGAUAACUCUUCACACCAAGUAAUAUUAGGCUCAGAAGACACUGACAAAGCAGUUUGAUAUCUAGUAGACAGCAAUACCACCCAGAUAAAUUCUUGUAGAUUUAAGAUCGGUUUUUUAUUGCACUAGUGCCAAGAUACUGAUAAAAAUUUCAAUAAUCUGAGAAUUUGUCCCAAUUGAAGGAAGCGUAGCAAAAUCUAGCACAGUAGUAUUUGAUUAACACCACAUACUUGUCAGCUCUACUAACUGUUCUUGCAAGUUUCAUUCACUUGUUUGGAGUUCUGUAGAUGGAACCGACCCCUGUGUUCUGUUUUCCUUCAGUUGCAGGUUAUUUUACAAAUCUCAGGAUCUGGAAGACAGAAAACUUUAUCUUCUAAAUGCCUAUCUGUAUUCCUAGAGUUUUGUCAGCUAAAGGAAAGCUAGUUUUAAUCUUAGGUUUUGAACAUAUUAAUAUUGGUUGGCAAUGUUUUCAGUAAACGAUGAUAUGGUUUAAUAAAGUGGUUGUCUUUUAAAAAGUCCAUUUUUACAAAUAUGAAGUUUAGUUUCUUCCUUUUAGAUAGGAAACGUUUUUAUUGAAUAACAGUGGAUAUGUUAUUUAAUCAAUACAAAUUUGGUAUCAGUCUUUUCCUAAUCAAGAUAAUGAAUUUAUAAUCUUUUUAGUACAAGAAACAUUUUAGAAAUUUAUUUUGUCUCUUGAAAUAGGAGAUAAGUCUAAGAGAUUCAUAUUUGUUUAAUGAUAUACUGCCUUGAUCUAUUAGACACCUUGAAAUAUACUGCAAGUGAUGAAAGAACAGCACAUUUUUUGCUUUGCAAUACACUGAUGCAGAUGUUGAAGAUCAGUAUAUCCAAUGAAGUCGUCAUCCUAAAAGUAUACUCUGGUUUCAGCAUCACCUCUUCUUUUGGGGUGUUUGAAACAAAGAUAUAGAAAGUAAAUUGAACUCAUCUUUAGUUAGCAGGCAUAACAUUUCUGUGUAAUAUUUUUCAUUUGAUCAAUGCAUGUAUAAUAUAUUUUGUUGCUGUUUUAAAAAAAGAAACAUGUCAAUAUUAUCUGAGCUUUUAAGGAAAAGACUAGAUACAUAAACAAGAUUGUGCACUGGUAGAAGAGAAGAAUAUACCUGAAUUACUUAGGCCAAAGAGGAAUAAAGAGAUACAGAUGAUGAGGAGAAGAGAGAUCACAAGUCAUUAACUAUGGCUUUAUGUUUCAUGUCUCUGUAUAGUGUGUUUAAUCCUAUUAACUGCUCUCCAUUCAUUCUGUUGUUUCCAUGGAAUAGGAUUCUAAAUCUGCUCCAGAUUAAUAUUAUGCAGUUUGAUAACUAUUGUAGCUUUUUUUAGUAGGUAGAAGGUUCAUCAGAGGUGCCUUUGUUUAUUCCUAACACCUGAAGCGAUCACUGAAUUUCACAUCUCUGGGAAGUUAUCAUUCCCGUAGAAGUAAACAGGUGUUUCUAAAGCUUUCUAGUGGAUGACUAAACCAAUGGCUUUUAUCCAGGUUUUGCAGGUCACUAGAUGUUCAAAAUAGCAGAGGAAAUCAAAAGAACUGCCUGUCUUUUGCUAUCACAGUAAUUUUGCACUUGAGCAUACAAGGAUUGGCUAAUAUAAAAAGUACUGAGGAAGACACGGAGUGAUUCUCUUCAAGCUCUGCCUUGGGAAGUAACAGUAAAAGUUACAUUUCAAAUUACAACUUUACUUGAAAUGUGACUUCAUUUAUUUAGUUUUUUAAAACAUUUUCAAUGCCAAGUUUUUGUCCCUUGACAAUGUCAAAUUGGACGCAAUCCACUUCAAGGCAGAAAGAUAAGCUUCUAAUUGUCAGUCUGGUAACCACUCCCUAGAGAUCAAGUGGUAUACUUUUUGCUUUAUGCCUCACCACUAAUAUCGAUACUUUUGCAACCCAGAAAUGCUUUUCCCUUGAGCAUUUACAACCUUCUUCAAAGUCUUCAUACUUUUCCCCUCUUCUGCCAUCUGUCACACAGCAGCAAAAUGUACUGCAGUAUUGGUGGGAAGGUUCAACCUCUACUGCCAUACCACCACCAUCUGCCUCUGAUGUCAUUGCCCAACAUAAUAAAAUAUGAGGCAUUACUUAUGGAAGGAGAAAAGUGUAGAAGAUAGUAGAUAGUAGAUGGUUUUUCUUUGAAAAAUAUGAAGUUAUGAUUCUUAGAUGAUACCAAGGAUGAUCAACUGAAAAUAGGUAUGGAUGUAGUCUGGAUAUUGACAGUGACUACAAAGUAACUACACAUAAUUAAUCUAGAAGUAUCACUUGCUACAAAAGAAGAGAACAGUUCAGACUUCAAAUGAUGAGUUGGAGCGACUCCUGUAAACUCUUGUGCCCAGAUCUGUGCAGAAAGACAAAUGUUAACACAGGAAGCCUCCUUGCUCUGUAGAGCUUGAACACUGUGCUUACAUGAAGUUAAAGCCUCUAAGCUGAACCUAGCUUUUUGAUUUGUUUGUUUCUUUUUAGCAGUGGUCAAAUAGGGGCUAGUAAGGUAUGCAUCAUUUUCCAAAGUAUUAAAAUAGGCAGUAAAUUAGUAGUGUUUAUGUAAGUAAUCCAGGUGACAACCAUACUCUUACAGGGGUUAAAGUCUAAAGCCAUUCGAUUUUUAAAUGCUGAACAUGUUUUAAGUGCGCUAUUGCUUCAUGCUCUUCUCUAGUAAUAAUGGAUUUGUUGAAAUGAGCAAUUACAUUUAUAAACAGAGAACCUCUCCCACAUGGAGAGAUAUACCCACAAAGUGGUGACCUUUUGGAUAACUAAUGCCAGAACUUGCACUAUAGGAAGACUUAGGAACAUCAGACAUUUGUAACUGUGGCUCUGAAGUGAUAAGGUACCUAUGAGGAAUAACGGUGUCAACAGAGAAAGUUCCUCCCUCGUCUCAGGAAUUUGAUGAAUAACUCUGACUGUAAGCAUAUACGUUCUUUUAUGAUUAUUAUUAAAAAAUGUCUCAUUGCUUUAAAAUGUUUUUAUGUUAAAUGUGCAAAAGAGAGCUUAGCAACAGGCUUUCUCUAUAAGAAAGUGGGUUUUGAUGGGUGGGGUGGCAAGAUGUGCUUUCACCAGAAAUAUGGCUGUUCCCACUGCCCAUAAACACAUCUUUAUGAUAUAUGUGAGAACAGUUUUAGUUCAGUAGUUGCUAAUAAUUUGGCUUUGGGAUUUUUUCAAGUUCAUUUUACGCUUAUAUAAAAAAGAGUGAUUAUCUAUCUCCUAACCUUUCUGGUUUUCCUGAUUUCCAAAUUAAUGAAUAGGAAUAUUAUCAUCAAUAGGGGGCACUGACACUAGCUUCCAUUUUAGACAAUAGAAUUUUUUAAGUGCAUUGAGUGCAGAUUCUAGCAUACCUUUGGGCUAUAAAAUAAUCUAAUAUUCUAAUUGUACUUCACAGUCAACUGUUUGCUGUUUCUUGGACAUCCGUUAUGCAUUGAGCAGCUGCUUCUAUUGAGAUGGCCAUGACUGCUUUUAGGUACUUUCCAUUAAUACAAUACAGGGGCAAGAAAUAUGUAUCAGUAUCCAGACUUCUGAAGUACCUGCUUUAACAGCACCUCUGAAAUUUCUUAACCAUCUUUUCAAAUCUAUCCUAUUUAUGCUUUUGUGUUCUUCCUAUUUUGACAUUUCACUUUCAACCGUAUUCUAAGAUUUUAAUUAAAGUGUAUUUAACCUCAAUCUUGAUAUGUGUACCAAGGUGUUGCAAUAUUAAUCUUCUAAUAUGGCUUAACAAUUCCUCUGGCUCAUUAUCAGAAUCUCAUCCAGCUUCUUAUCCUCUCACAGGCAAUCUUUGUCCAGAGAGAUUUUUAAGUCUUGACAAUAAUGAUGUAGUGCGGGGAGCAAGAUUUCUCAUAAUGAGUGGUUGUUUAAUUUGUAGCUGAGUGGCAUUUUCACUUCUUAGGUAUUGUACUGUUUGUCUAUGAAAAUCAGAAAGUCUGUCUCUGCACAGCACCACAGAAUGGGGUACAAGGACUGGGGGACGUUUGCAGCCUCUUCAAAUGCUUCAUAUAAUAACAAUAGAAAAAGCAUUCUGAAUUAGAUAGAAAAGUGUAACCUAUUUCUACUGUUCACAUGCUUCAGGUCUCUUUCUCAUCUGCUUCACCUUCUCCAUGCCAUUUUGUUUGUAAAGAUACAAUAUUUUUCACAUACUGAAAAAUAUAUUUUUGAAUGAAAACCAGUUCUUGUAUCUGUGAGUUGUAGACAAACAUUCAGCUCAUCUCAGUAUCUGCCAGUUCAAUGGCAGAAUGAACUCUAAUACUAAGUGUAACAACACUGUGGCAGACAAUUCCAUUAAAGACAAUAAUGCAUAUGUUUUAGAUGUUUGCAUACAUUGGCAGAAUUUGGCAUAUGCCUGUCCUAUCAGCCAGAGGUGGAAAAAGGACUGGAAAAAGGACAACAGAACUAAUUUUGUCAAGGACACAAGAGUAAUGUAUUUAGACAUAAUUUAAAAGAUUUGAAUGAUAUUAAUCCAAGCAGAGGACAGUUAAAUAUAAUAAAAGUAAAAACCCUGAAAAAUGAGUGUAAGAACUCAUUUAGUCUUUUUACUGAAACUACAACAGGCUGACUUACCAUAAGCUAAAAAAGAUGUCAUUGAAUUAUCAGCAUUUACCAGUUAUUAUUUGUGGUUUCCAAGAUGCUCCUGCCUCUCACCAUAUUCUGAAUGACUACAUUCAACUCCACAUGUAAUGAAGUUUGAAGUCUCAGACUAAUAAAAAAAAUAAAAAAUAACAGAUAUAUCUUACUAAAGUAGUGAGAAAUCCUGUUCAACUCAGGGGGUCUAAUUGUAGGAAUGAAGGACAUCAGAUCUGUCUCUAAAAAUAUACUGUGCAAAAUGGAAGAUUAGAGAACACAGUUUGCUAAAAGGACUACGUCAGGUCAUUUCAGUGGUGGUGUUCUCUGGGGUAUAGUCUGUGUACCAGUAAAAAUCUCCAUGAUUUUUAGUAAUUCUAUUAAAGUAGCACAUCACCUCCAAAUAUUGAUAAAGAUUGGGCAGAUUCACUUCAGGAUGAACCCUGCAUACACACAUAUUUUCUGAAAUGUAAAUAGUUGGCACCUGCUGAGCCAUAAUCCCUAAAUCAGAAACACAAAUGUUUGGAUUAAUAAAAAAAUGGAAAGCCUCAUUCUUUCUUGUUGUCUUCUGAAUGCACAUUUUUUCACUUUCAGUGUUAUGUGUAUGACUGGCAUGUUUUAUCCAGGACUAGAAAUUCAGCAUGGCUAUUUGCUGUAGUAACCACAAAGGACAGAGGUGAUAAAAUGCAAGCUAAUCCAAAACUUUCAAUGACUUACAUGGGUUUUAAAAUCAAGCCUUAAAUUCAAUACUACAGAUAUGAUGCAGUGUGAAACAACUGAGAUUUGACACUCUUAAGAAUGAAAAUUAAAGGAUAAAUAUUUUAUCUCUUUAAAGAAGUAGUUCACUGUGAUACAUGAAAAAGUUGAAAAAAUGUGAAACUUAAACAUAUGUGUACUAUUAUUGAAAUCUGUUUGAUUUUUUGCAUGCAUAAAGUUUUAGCAUUCUACUGCAUCCAAGACUAAAUUUUCAGUAACGUUUGGGUUUUUAGCACAUGCCUGAAACUGCUGUCUUUCAUAUUUGAAGUGCAUAGGUAAGGAAUAGAGACUGCAGACAUACAGAUUAAUCCACUGUACAAACUAAAGCUAUGAUUACAAGCAAACUGCUUAAACUCUGAUGCAGUUUGAAGGAAGAAAGUUUGAAAUCUUUUACCAACACUGUUUAUUAUUGGACAGGAUUGUGAUGUUUUAUUUGUUUUUGUUUUGUUCUGUUUUGUUUUGGGGGGAUUCAAUACAGAAAUUGGAGGAGUGUGUUGGACUGCAGCUGGUGGUGCUAAUUACCUGGGGCAAAGGAAGUUGUCUUUCCAUUAUGUUUUGUGCUGUUUUUCAGACCUUAUGGAUCCCAGAAGGUGAACCCAUAAUCAAGUCUUUACUGGGGGCUUCUUGGCAAGGCUAUCUCCAGCCACUGUUCCUGGCCUCAUAUAAGGUGUUCUAGAAAGGGGUUCCUCCAGCCGUUCAUCAGGACAAGGAACCAAGUGCUCCAGAGAGCCAAGUGAAUUGUUACCUGUCACAGCAUCCCCAUGUUCAUCUCUUAAUACUUGUGGGUGUGAUACAAACCACCUAAAAGAGAUUCACUGCCUCUUUUACAGCCCAGACUAGACAGUUUCCUGUGUUCCAUCAGUGCAGUUCUACUGCUGCACAUUUUGGUUUGGUUAGCAGGACUUUAAUCAAGAAAAAAAAAUCUAAUGAGCAGCAAUUUGAAAUACAGCAUUUGGAAAGGUCAAAAUGGUACAUUACAUCCCUAUUAUCCAAAAGAACAGAUGAGUUUAAUAUCCUGACAGCAUUUUCCUGUGAAGAAGAUAUUAAACAAGAACUGAAAAUGGCACAAGGUUCCCUCUUCCUUUCUUUUGACAAAGACUGUAACAAGAUGAUGAAAUUGUACAGAAUAAAUCUCAUCCUGCUUUAAUGUUCAGAUUGGGGAUCCUGCCUAGAUUUCAAAAAUCUAAGCUAAUAAAAGAGACAAAACAUAUGUUAUUUGUUUCAGGUAUAUCCACAUGAAGCAGAAGACUUUUACUAUACAUUUUCCUACUUACAUGACCCAGUUUCCAUCAAUAUUUUCUAGAUUUAAAAAUAGGAAUAAUUGGUAACAGAAGGUACAUAAUGCAUCUAAUUUCAAGAAGUAAAGCAUUGAACUGCAACAGAUAAUGCACUGCAUCAAAACAGCUUAAAAUGUAAAUUUUUCAGCUUCCAUAUGAAAGACUGCAGAAUACAAAGAAUAAAUUCCAACACACAAUGCACUGUAUGUAUUCUGCUUUGGUGAGUCCUUGGCAGUGUGGAACUGUUUGAAGGCAAAGGAAUUUGCACUAUAUCCCGUUGAUUGUUAGCAAUUCAAUUAAUAUAUGGAACUGUCACGAUUUGUUGUCUUAAAUCUUGUUAAAUUGGCCCUCGUGUUAAAUCUUAUUAUUACAACCAAAAAAUGCUGUGCUUAAAAAUCAAAACAUGAGUAUACAGCACACACCUUUAUUAAUGACAUGCACUUGUAUUCAUUCCACAUGAGAUAUGAGAAGUCUGCUGUUACAUAAGAGCAUAACAAGUUAUAUAAUAAAGACAUUCAUGAUUAUUAAAGAAAAACAAAUUAUAUGAUUCCAAAAGAUACACAUCUUCAAGUAUAACUGGCUGAAGUAGACGUACAUGGCUUUGAAUAAGAACUCGUAAGUAGAAAUCAUACAGAACCUCUUUUUUUCUUCACCAUCUAGAGAAUACAUCUGAAAAAAUAUCUCUGUGGUGCUUUAUGUGCAGUACCUUGCUGAGAAAACCCAUUCUGCUUUGGCCAAGAGAGAGAAAAUGAACAUGCCCAAAAUAUGUUUUUCAAGCCUUGAGUGGAAAAAAAAAUGUUUUUUGGGUUUUUUUUUUUUCUUUUUCUUAGGUGAUCUUAUUUUCCACUAGAAAUUGUAGAUACAUCCUUUGUUUUGCAACUGAAAUGCAAGAUAGCUUUUUAAAUGCGUUGGCAAUGUGUGACCAAUUUUGAAACUUCAAAGGUUUUGCAAAACUAUAGAAAAGAAGAUCCCUGAAGGGUGCUAAUUUCCAUAGGCAUUUAUGAAAUGAGUGUUUUCCAUGUAUCUAAAAGAAAUCCACUGGAUAACAUUUAAAGUUUAUAGAGAGUUCCUUGUGAUUUAGUUAAUAGCUCCUGAAACUAAAAUGACAACAAAUAGCUCUUUUCUGUUUCCCAACCAGAAAUACGAGCAGAGUAUGAAGCGUCCAGAAAAUAAUAAGCAAAACUGUUUUUCAGUGAAUUAUUGUUCAUAGUUCAGAUCCAUGGAUUUUUAUCAUGCAAAUUACAAAGAAUUCAGACCAUAUAUAAUUCUGCUAUUAAGAAAUAAAUUAUAUGCUGUUGUUAUCCGACUUUUGAAAAUCAGUAUGGAAUGACUGAGUAGAGAACCCAGCCUACUGAGGAGAGUCUCAUCAUGUAAUGGCACAAACAACUUCAGCAAUUCUUAGAGAGUGAGUACCAAAUAUCUGUAGAAGACAGUGGCAUUUGUUACACUUUCUUUCAGUUUGCUCCUGACUAUGCAAAAUGCUGUUACUGCAUCACACACUAUUUAACAUGGGAACUACCUUGAAUACAUUAGGCAGGUUUAUUUAGUUAUUUCAUGAAAUAGAUUUUUUCCAGUAGGUGAUCACAGUAAAUCUGUUUUGAAAAAUUACCAAAAUAAUCAAGUGUAUCUUGUGAACCAAUAUACCAGUUUGUAGUGAAAUUUUAAGAGGUACUUACUUCCCUUACUUACCUUCAAUAAAUCAGAUGGUGGUUGGGCAUUGCCGUGAAAUCUUUCACUAAUGAAGGAAGGACGUUAAGAAUAAAAUCUGACUGUAAAAUGUUGGACCUGCGAAACCAUAAAUUACAUCUCAAAGCAAGGGAUAUUCCUUAAAUUAAUGGCAGAUUUAAAAUAAUAAUUCAGCUGAUGGAAAAUGUUUUGAAUUGAAACAAGAUCCUAAAAGUGAGAAGUCAAAACACAGCUGACCAUGUGCAGCACACACAUUCCCACACACUUGGCUUUGUUCCAGGAGGAGCUGGUUUAUUGUAAUCCCAGUAAGAAAGGUACCAUGAUGCAUUGCUUAAAAUACAACUUACUACAGCUAAUACUGUACCGAAAAUGAGUGCAUUACACAUAGUUGUUUGUUCCUUUGGAUACUGGGAACCCCGUGAUGGGACUCCAAGCAGGGCACAGCAUCCUGUGCAGAACUUCUGCAUAGAAAAGCUACCCAGUAUUCUAGUCUUUUGAGUGCUUCUAGGGCUUUCCUAACAGAAAAUAAUUCUGCUUACCAUUUCUACUGUCAAACUAAGAAGAUGUGCAUGUGGGAAUUUGUCACUGCUAUUUCACAUAAAGGCAAGGAGAAGCAGGUGAUGCAAUUGACAGUACCAUGUGGGAGCUGCCCAUAGGCUGCUUUGUUAUCCAGUGAGGUCUGUCCUGCAAAGAGCAGAUGCACAGCCCACAGCACAGACUUGAAGGUUGAGCACAGUGUGGAACAUAGUGCAGAUCUGCCCCUGCAGAGGGAAACUGCUAUGUGGAUCACUAAUUCCUCCAUGUUUGAUGGUCUUCAGGUCAGGAUCUCUGCACAUAUAUGCAUACAUACCUGUUUUAUAUCUGCAUUCUUUUGUGCUCCAUAGUGAUGCAUUGUAUUCAAAUCUAUCCACAUUCAAAAUCUGCACGUCUAUUGCAAAUGCUCCUUUAUUCAUGUCUCUGUGUCCAUCAAGCUGGAAUUGUGCAGGAACUCAGAUGGGCUUAUAAUUACACAAUUUGUACCUCCAAAGGCUUUUAAAAGUCUAUGUAGGUAUAUUUUUGCAAGCAUGAUUGUUGUGCCUGCAGCUCAAAAUCUGGUUAUACUUGCAUUUGAGUUUGUUUUGUUUAGUAACACAAUGCUACUCGAUAUUACAUGAAUAAAUCAUCUAUAAGCUAGAAAACACAUCAAAAUCGGAGGAACAAAGUCAGUUGCAUUAUUAAAGAGAGAAAAUAAUUUGACAUGAAAGGCGUUUUAGAGACAAUACAGCCUGUCUGAUUUACUGAUGUGCACGGAAACUAAUAUAUCAUUCAGCCUUGCUACCACAUGACAGCUGUUCUGCAUCUGAUGGGAAAUGUGAUGGUGCUCACAGUCCAGUUCAUACUGGACAGGUGUUGACAUCACAAAAAUCAUCAUCAGAACUGGCACUAAUUGGCACCUUUGUUGACAGCCUCAUCAGAGAGGCCAGUGAUUGAAUCAGCAUGGAUGCUGCCUUGCAAGCUCCGCUGGUAAGGGAUACUGGGCUCAGCUCUUCCUUCACUGAAAUCAUCCUGAGUUUUGCACAUACUUCAGCUCCUGAUGCAAUUUGCCUGUAAAUUCUGUAUGCAUACACACUGCCAUGGCAUACACGUUGAAGUGAUGCCCCCAUACAUAGUGGGCACUGAAACCUGUCCUCCGAAUUUGGCCAACAUAAGAGACCGGAGGCUUAGGUUUGUGAGGAAACAAGACCAAAGCAGGUGGAACCAAAGACUGCUGAUGUUGCAGUCACAUAUCACCCACUAAGAGCUCCAUUCUCACCCAGGCUUUUAUCAAUUUUAGUUUAAUUUAAAUGGAACUGUGGGUUGGUGGACUUCUACUAGCCACUUUACUCCUCCAUGCCUCAGUUUAUUCUUUCACAUGAGGGUCAUAAUGUUUGUCUCAGUCUCAGAUAUAGUUAGGUGUUGCUAAUUAAAGAAUUCCUUAAAGAAUUUUAACAGGUUUGAUGGAAGGCAAUAGACACAUUAAAACUCAGGCUUCACAUUUAUAGGAACACUGGUUUCUUUAUAAUGCCUUUGAAUUGUAGGCAGUUACUAUUGCAUGCAUCCUUUUUGCAUUUAACCAUCUUUCCAUUCACUCUGUUGAAUAUUAAGUUUUUUCUCCUCUCAGCCUGGAUUGUUCAAAUUAGUGCUUAAAAUUAAUUUUUCUUUGGUAUACAGAAACCUAUAUUGUUUGUGGGUUAAUUAUCACUUUUUUUUUAGCUCUAGAGAAAUGCAAUAUAGGUCAAUAAUGUGACUGAAUAAUUUGAGAAUAUUUUUAUGGCAAUAAAAAGAAGUAAAAAAUGUGUGAUAAUUUUGAUCAUAUUUAAUAGCAGUAACUAAAGUAUAUAGAGAUUAUUAGAGCUCACUAGUGCAAUUUUUCAGAGAAGGAUGAAAGGGAGAAAGAGACUGAGAAGGAAGGAAAUGAAGGAAAGAAGAAACGAAGAAAGAAUGAUAGAAAAAAGUAUAAAGGUCAGGAAAAAUAAAUAAAAUUUUAAAAUAAAUAAAUAAAUAAAUAAAUAAAUAAAUAAAAGAACUGUUCCAGUUUCAUGUGUAUGGAAAAGAAUUUGUUGGACAAGGAAAUGUCAGUAUGUAGAUGUAGUGGAAAUGCAAGUCAUGUCUUGAAGCAGUGAUUGAGCACCUGGUGGAAAGACGGGCCACCCCAGGGGAGCUCAGGUGCAUGCAAUGCUGCUGAGUGACCGGGAGGAGUGGAGCCAGGAUCCACCUCUUCCCAAACCACAUUUAAGUGCUGGCAAAGAAAAUGAGGGGAUCUCACUGGAGAUCUCUAUGUACAUGAAAUCUUCAGAAGGUAAGCAGAG
ensembl:lncRNA